CGAACGGGUGGAGUAACAACGUGGGCAAACCUGCCCAAANAGGGGAGUAACACUUGGAAACAGGUGCUAAUAACCGCAUAACCAUAGUUACCGCAUGGUAACUAUGUAAAAGGUGGCUAUGCUACCGCUUUUGGAUGGGCCCGCGGCGCAUUAGCUAGUUGGUGGGGUAAAGGCUUACCAAGGCAAUGAUGCGUAGCCGAACUGAGAGGUUGAUCGGCCACCAUUGGGACUGAGACACGGCCCAAACUCCUACGGGAGGCAGCAG
rnacentral:rRNA from 1 species